UGAAAAAAAUACACCUUCUAAUAUCACUUUUCUAUAGACGCCUGUUCAAAAUCUGGAAAACAAUUUUAUUUUUUUUAGCUCCUUUUGGAAUUAAACUCUUCAAUAUUGCCUGUAUUAUUUAUUUUAUUCAAACUUUCAGAAAGAUUAUAUGUAGAUAUUUAUUUGUUUUAUUAGUGUUGAUAUAAUUGAUUGAAAAUGGCUACCAGGUAUUUCUGUAUUGCUCAAUAUCUUUCAUUUUAUAGCCUCAGAGUCGUCUUCCAUACCUGUUCCCAAGUACAGAACCUCACCUAUGAUGCAAAAAAGAAGCAGCAGUCUGGACACCGUUUCAUCUCAUCAUAGAAGCGGAAGGGCAUCAUCACCAGCUAAACCAAGAUAAAUACCAGGGACCUGUUUCACAAAGCCUUACUACUAAUUACCAAUCAGAAGCAAGGAUUUCACUAGCUUAUAACAAAAACUGUCAUUUUUCACUGAUGACAAGUUUUGUGAAAUGGGGCCCAGGAAUCAUCGUUCUGAAUGAUUAUCACCUUGAUGUCUUAUUUAUGAUCCAUAGUAGGGACUAUGUAGAAAGAUAUAGACCAUUACUACAAAGGUUUUUAAAAGAGCUACAUGUUUGUGAGAGGGUGACUUUACUUACACAGUUAUUGUGUUACGUCAUUUACAUGUAUACAUAGUAUUCUUUACCUGGUGCUGUGAAAUUUGUAGUGUGAGAAGAGUUUACCAUUAGAGCAAGAUAUUUAUUAUGUGUUUGGGUAAUUCCAUAAAUUAGGGACCCAUUUUGUGACACGAGUGAGAAUAUUAUGCUUGGCGUGUGUGGGUUCCUUAAUUUAUGUUUGUAUUGUGUCGCAUACCAUGUAUUUCACCUUUUGAAUAAUUGUUUAAUUCUGAGCAAAAGGUUGCCAUAUAAGUUAGUGAUGGAAAAAACACAACAUUUUGAUUGUAGAAUGAUUCUUUUAAAAUAAUGUUGAUGCAUACAUUAUGAAAUGUAAUUUGUAAAGAAAAAAGAAAUGAUUCAUGUAUGAACACAUUAUCAAUGAUUGUGGUGACCUUAGUUUUUUAUUGCUCUGUAUAGACUAUGAGAGCGAGCUACCAUACCAUUGGAAAGUACUGACAGAGAAAUACAAUAUGCAAUUAUUUUGAAAGUUGGCUUUGCCUUUUAAUUCUUCUUGGUCAUAACAUGACCUAUACAAAAUAGUCUGAACAUGUUGCGGGCAUUUUUUGGUAAAUUUGAAGGAAUAUAGGCUUUGACAAAUAAGCUUAUAAAAUAGUACUGAAAUAACCAAUUUACAACUGGAAGACAUGUACACAAGUGUCUGUUUACAUCAAACAAAUGCAGAAUUUUCGGCAAGAAUAAAAUAAUACCUAAUAUGUAACA